rnacentral:rRNA from 1 species
AGUGAACGCUGGCGGUAGGCCUAACACAUGCAAGUCGAACGGCAGCACAGUAAGAGCUUGCUCUUACGGGUGGCGAGUGGCGGACGGGUGAGGAAUACAUCGGAAUCUACUUUUUCGUGGGGGAUAACGUAGGGAAACUUACGCUAAUACCGCAUACGACCUACGGGUGAAAGCAGGGGAUCUUCGGACCUUGCGCGAUUGAAUGAGCCGAUGUCGGAGUAGCUAGUUGGCGGGGUAAAGGCCCACCAAGGCGACGAUCCGUAGCUGGUCUGAGAGGAUGAUCAGCCACACUGGAACUGAGACACGGUCCAGACUCCUACGGGAGGCAGCAGUGGGGAAUAUUGGAAAAUGGGCGCAAGCCUGAUCCAGCCAUACCGCGUGGGUGAAGAAGGCCUUCGGGUUGUAAAGCCCUUUUGUUGGGAAAGAAAAGCAGCAGGUUAAUACCCCGCUGUUCUGACGGUACCCAAAGAAUAAGCACCGGCUAACUUCGU